AAACGACUCUGGGCAACGGAUAUCCCGGCUCUCGCAUCGAUGAAGAACGUAGCGAAAUGGGAUACUUGGUGUGAAUUGCAGAAUCCCGUGAACCAUCGAGUUUUUGAACGCAAGUUGCGCCCGAAGCCAUUAGGCCGAGGGCACGUCUGCCUGGGUGUCACGC
rnacentral:rRNA from 1 species